rnacentral:rRNA from 1 species
AUACGGAGGAUGCGAGCGUUAUCCGGAUUUAUUGGGUUUAAAGGGUGCGUAGGCUGUGCGUUAAGUCAGGGGUGAAAUGCCGUCGCUCAACGACGGAGCUGCCCUUGAUACUGACGUGCUGGAGUACGGAUGCCGUUGGAGGAAUGAGUGGUGUAGCGGUGAAAUGCUUAGAUAUCACUCAGAACACCGAUUGCGAAGGCAUCUGACGAAUCCGUCACUGACGCUGAGGCACGAAAGCGUGGGGAUAGAACAGGAUUAGAUACCCUGGUAUUCCACGCCGUAAACGAUGAUGACUAACCGUCGGCGAUAGACAGCCGGUGGCCAAGCGAAAGCGAUAAGUCAUCCACCUGGGGAGUACGGCGGCAACGAUGAAACUCAAAUGAAUUGACGGGG